CUUCAUAAACCCAUCUGGCUGCAUCUGAUCCCCUGUUGUCCUGUACAUACCAUGUGACAGAACUCCAGGACACCACUGCUAACAACUAUGGAGAAUGCUCUGUCCAGUGUCUAGCAUUUUGGAUUUACGCUAGGUCAUGCAAGAAACACAGAGAACAUGAAGCACCAAAUCAAGGCCUUACAAGGGACAUGCUCAUUAAAAGAGCUGUGCAACUGCUAUUUAUUCUGCAGACUUCAGUGAAGCCACAACAUCUAUUAGCAGGCAGACCCAAAGACUUUUAUCCCAGGGCAAAGCUGCUUCUGGAAUAAGAGGGAAACCCCUGGCUGCAAUACUGAGUGACACUACAGGAGCGUUCUAUAAGAACCUAAGAGAUAAGAAAAAGCCUGCUCUGUCAGGCCUGGAAAAUUAGAAAAGGCCUAUUCAUCUACAACCAUCCCAUCAGAAAGGCUAAGAAUAAGGAGCAGAUCACCCUAACCAAGGAAAGAAAUUUUUUUGCAUCUUUGACGUGUCACAACUUGGGGGAGCUACAUUCCGGAAAAUCUACAGCUGGAAAAUCUACACAAAGCCUUCUUGAAUCCUGAAGUGUUACGUUUUCCAGCAGGAUUUCUCAACAUUGCCAAAGCCACAUGGAGCAGGCUAUGAAUCCAUGUAAUCUCUGGCAAUAUUUUAAAAGUCUGAAAUUCACUGCUUUUGAAGAAGAGACUUCAAAGCCCAGGCAAAUUGAAUACAUCCAAAUACUCCCUGUGCUGAGUUUGAAUAGAUACUGAAAAGCACCGUGUUUUUAAAGUGAUCAAAUGUCACCAGAAGUUUCAUUGACUCGAUAUGCUGGAGAUAAUACUGAUUGUACUUUGGACCAUGAGCAACACUCAGCUGCAUAGUGCAAAAGAAGAAUUCCUCUUGCUUUCUACAAGACGUAAAUGGACUUCCUUGAAACUACUUUAAAAAGCCUGUUGUCAAAGUGUAAGAGGGAGAGAUAUGCCAACCAAAAGCUCUGCCAACUUUUGGUACUCAGUUUGAUGCUGUUGCUCAUUUGAAAACAGCAUCUAAAAGAAGUUGCACUAAAUGUGUUUUGCCAGAAGCUAUGGAACUGUCAGUUACUUUAAACCACUGAAUCCAGAAACAAAUUUAGCAAAAUUAUUACUUCCGUCUCUUGCCUGUACAGUGGUUGAUGCUCCUUUAGUAACACCUCUGGUGAUGCUCAUCCAGGAUUUUCCUUCAAAUACAGUUCUUAUGAUAAAAAAAGUGAAAAGGAGAUCUUUAAAUUUUUUUUCCCCGUGAUAUUUAAGUAAUAGGAGGAGCUUUUAAACUCCUUCAUUACAGCAAGAAUUGUCUACAUCCACAUGUUCAGUCUGGAAAGAGAGGAAGGUUUUUACCUUUUUUCCCCUCACUGUUUCUCUAAGCCAAACACUGUAUACAUCACAAGAAUAAAAUACU